rnacentral:sRNA from 1 species
CGAGCCGCGCCGCGGAACUAACUCGCCGCCGCCGCCCUUCAGCGACUGGGGCCGCCUGGAGGCGGCCAUCCUCAGCGGCUGGAAGACCUUCUGGCAGUCAGUGAGCAAGGAGAGAGUGGCGCGUACGACCUCGCGGGAGGAGGUGGAUGAGGCGGCCAGCACCCUGACGCGGCUGCCGCUAUAGAAUGUGCUGUCCAUAUACAAGAAGAGCUUCAAAAUCCAGCCGUCCUAUGUAUGGAGCUGUCACUUCUUUUUUACACUCGCUGAUCAUUCAGAAUGAACCACGAUUUGCUAUGUUUGGACCAGGUUUGGAAGAAUUGAAUACCUCUUUGGUGUUGAGCUUGAUGUCUUCAGAGGAACUUUGCCCAACAGCUGGUUUGCCUCAGAGGCAGAUUGAUGGUAAUUUUCAUGUUAAUCUACAGUUAAUUCAAACACUUUGAGCUUGACAUUCUUGUUAAAAAGAAAGAAAUUCAUUUUAAAUUAAUUAUUUGCUAUAAUGAAGUAUAGUACUUUGGUUGUUGGGAGCCCUACCAGGUUCCACUGAACUGACAGAAUUAAUUUACUUACUGUAAGAAAGCUUCCUCUUAAUUCCUCAAAUUUGUACAAUCCAGCCUUUAAGAUUAUGUGAAAAUAAAUU